AUUGAACGCUGGCGGCAUGCCUAACACAUGCAAGUCGAGCGAGAGGCGGACGGGUGAGUAAUGUAUGGGGAUCUGCCUGAUGGCGGGGGAUAACUACUGGAAACGGUAGAUAAUACCGCAUACCAUGAGAUGAACACAUAUGGGCUUAGCUUUUAUGUAAGGUAACGGCUUACCUAGGCGACGAUCCCUAGCUGUUCUGAGAGGAGGAUCAGCCACACUGGGACUGAGACACGGCCCAGACUCGUACGGGAGGCAGCAGUGGGGAAUAUUGCACAAUGGGCGCAAGCCUGAUGCAGCCAUGCCGCGUGUAUGAAGAAGGCCUUCGGGUUGUAAAGUACUUUCAGUCGGGAGGCGGUACCGACAGAAGAAGCACCGGCUAACUCCGUGCCAGCAGCCGCGGUAAGAC
rnacentral:rRNA from 1 species